GUGGAGGGCCGCACCGGUAGGGUCCGACAAAGAGCCCGGACACUAGUUUAGGGGCGCAGCGGGGCCCGGCGGGGGCGGCGAGCGCGCGUCCCCCCGCCCGCUCAGGCGGCGUCGAGGCGCGAGCAGCUCAGCCAGCCUUGCAGAGGGAGCUCUCGGCAGCUCUGGGGUCCCUCUGCUCGCAGCAGCGCCGCCUGCGCCACUCGGUGGAGACGGAGACCAGCGGCGACGACGUGCGCACUGGGAGCGACCGCCGAGCAACCUCACAGGGCGACCGGGUAGGUGCUGGGGACCCGGCCGGCUGGAGGAUGGGCAGCCCGAGAGGCGUUGGCCAGGGCCCGACACCCAUACUGCACGGAGACCCGGCUACGCGCGCAGCGGCAGGCUGAUAAAUGUUCUGUGGGCGGAGUCCUGCAGCCGCUCAGAUGGCGGUCGCCCCUCCCGCGCACCAGGUGCACCUGCGGACUUGACCCAACCCGCGAGGAAGCUGAUUGAAGACGGUACUCUGGUGGCUCCGCGAGGAGAGACUUUGCUCUGAAUACACGAGGAAGAAGAGUGGGAGACAGGAGGAGAAGGUUGGAAGAGGGAGGGAGGGAAGUGCGGGGACAGCAUCCGGUGACCACCAACGCAAUAAAUCAGACCCUGGACCA